UAGGUGGUUAAGCUCGGAGGGCAGCCUUGUAGGUGGUUAAGCUCUGAGGGCAGUCUUGUAGGUGGUUAAGCUCGGAGGGCAGUCUUGUAGGUGGUUAAGCUCGGAGGGCAGUCUUGUAGGUGGUUAAGCUCGGAGGGCAGUCUUGUAGGUGGUUAAGCUCUGAGGGCAGUCUUGUAGGUGGUUAAGCUCGGAGGGCAGCCUUGUAGGUGGUUAAGCUCGGAGGGCAGCCUUGUAGGCGGUUAAGCUCGGAGGGCAGUCUUGUAGGUGGUUAAGCUCGGAGGUCAGUCUUG